GCCCGGGUGGCGGAAUGGCAGUCGCGGCCGGCUUAAACCCGGCUGUCCCUCGGGACAUGUGGGUUCGAGUCCCACCCCGGGCA
rnacentral:tRNA from 1 species